rnacentral:rRNA from 1 species
UACGUAGGGUGCAAGCGUUAAUCGGAAUUACUGGGCGUAAAGCGUGCGCAGGCGGUUUUGUAAGUCUGUCGUGAAAUCCCCGGGCUCAACCUGGGAAUUGCGAUGGAGACUGCAAGGCUAGAAUCUGGCAGAGGGGGGUAGAAUUCCACGUGUAGCAGUGAAAUGCGUAGAGAUGUGGAGGAACACCGAUGGCGAAGGCAGCCCCCUGGGUCAAGAUUGACGCUCAUGCACGAAAGCGUGGGGAGCAAACGAGGAUACGAA